rnacentral:lncRNA from 1 species
CUUUCUGAGCAACCAAUGAAGUCCCUAUAUCCUGGAAAUGUAGGGUAUUGAGUAUGAAUUGGGUAUGAAUGUUGACUAAUGGGAAGUGGGAGAUGAAAAAGGCAGCUGGGAAAAUAAAUUUCUCCUUCUUUCACUCUCCUACAGUUACGUCUGAGGUGAGGUCCCUCAUUGCAACCUUUCUAGGGAAAUUUAACCCACUGAGUGAACACAGCUGCUGGGUAACAAUUGCCUGUUCAUGGCUCAUGGUGAAGUAGUAUGUGGCACAAUUGGGCACUGCAUCGUAUUGCAUCAAAUGCUACCUUGCCUCAUCUCUUUUCUCUCACUUUCACUGCCCUGUGCUUAUGCUUUCCAAACAUGUGAACAUCUUAAUUAUUGUGUCAAGCUCUGCCUUCUAAAGGACCUGGGCUAAGACAACUUAAAAGUGAAUGAUGGUGAACAUGCCACAUAUAAAAACAUUUGAAAUGUAGCUAGAACUAUCUAAGAGGAAACUUUAUGCUUAAAAUAUCUAGAUUAGAAAAGAAGAAAAGGUAAAAAUUGAUGAGUUAACUAUCCAAUUAGGAAGUUAGAGAAGGAAUAAUAAAAUAAAUCCAAAGAAAAUAAAAGGAAAGAAAUAACAAAGUUAAAAGGAGUUAGUGAAAUGAAAAACAAAGACAUAAGUCAAUAAGCCCAAAAGUUUGUUCAUUUAUAAAUGCUGCCGGGCACGUUGGUACUCGUCUAUAGCCCCAGGUACUCAGGAGGCUCU